GACGAAUGCUGGCUGCGUGCUUAACACAUGCAAGUCGAACGGUGAAGGAGGGCUUGCCCUCCGGAUCAGUGGCGAACGGGUGAGUAACACGUGGGCAACCUGCCCCUCACUCUGGGAUAACGCCGGGAAACCGGCGCUAAUACCGGAUACGACCAGGCGCGACAUCUCGCCUGGUGGAAAGAAUUUCGGUGAGGGAUGGGCCCGCGGCCUAUCAGCUAGUUGGUGGGGUAAUGGCCCACCAAGGCGACGACGGGUAGCCGGCCUGAGAGGGCGACCGGCCACACUGGGACUGAGACACGGCCCAGACUCCUACGGGAGGCAGCAGUGGGGAAUAUUGCGCAAUGGGCGAAAGCCUGACGCAGCGACGCAGCGUGAGGGACGAAGGCCUUCGGGUUGUAAACCUCUUUCAGCGGGGACGAAGCGAAAGUGACGGUACCCGCAGAAGAAGCACCGGCUAACUACGUGCCAGCAGCCGCAGUAAUAC
rnacentral:rRNA from 1 species